rnacentral:rRNA from 1 species
CUUUUCUCUUCGCUAAGAAACGUGGCGUCGUGUGCGUUGGAGGAGGAGACGAGGAAAGGGAGGGAGACGCGGCGACCUAGACGUCGUCGAGGGAGGGUACCAGGCGACUCUACUACCCGCUGUGCGGCGGCGGAUGGCGCGGGAGCUGGAGGAGGAGGAGGAGGGGGAGAAGUCGCCGCCGCUCGAGAAUCUCAGCCCCGGGAGCGGCGAGCAGAAGGAUGGGGAUGGGGACUAGGUGCUGCCGCCGUACCUGGAGAGGGCGAUGCCGCUCUCCGACGAGUCGAGGCAGGUGAGGCGUGCGAGGCAGGUGAGGCGUGCGAGGGAGCUGGAGGGGCUUGGGUCGGGGAAGGUGGCGGUAGGGAAGCUGAGGAGAGAAGACGGCGUCUAGCUGAGGUUGGCGCACGUCACGAGCUUAGGGCGACGGCGUAGAACUGAGGUUGGCACGCGACGCCCCCCAUAAGAGGCGGUUUUAGCGCGGUGGUGGCGAUGACGGUGUCUACUUCCAACCAAGCAAAUAACCACAAUCCAUUAUAACUACGUUCUAAAGAGGAGAUGGUCAGCGUUACCUAGGACUGCCGGUCUUUCUUCGUGUACUUCUUCAAUGUCCGUUACAGCUCCUGGCCCUCCACGUCGUACCCUGACCACUCCAAACUGCUCGUGGACUCGCGAUCUUUCAAACUACCCAGUCCCCCUCGUGAUCCAACCGUCGCUGGAGGUGUAACUUGGCAGUGCCAGGUUUUAUCCGUCACUUUUCCCUGUUUCGUGACCACCCAAGACCCUCCCCGUGGUUCAGUGGCUGCUCCAACGGUACCUUGGUGGCUCCAGGUUCUUGUUUUCCUCCUUCUUCCAGGUUAUCAAUACCUGAAUAGACCCAAAUAUGUAUUGUUCCUUCGCAUUCGAACAACACGUAUGUAACGAGCUAUUUUAUUACAUGAAUAGUAUCUACUUGUUACACGAUGUGGGCAGGUCCUAUGCAGUGUUGCCUCUGUAUCCGCGUCUGCACGUCGUCCCUGGGCAAGGUUCCUAAGAAAAGUCUAAUUCUGGGACGCAUUUGGAAAAAAUGAGAGAGAACAACUAUGUGUAGGGGACCAAAGAACCAUAUUGGUUCCUCCUCCGACCGCAAAACCGUACACCGGUGCAGUCUCAAAACGCGUAUGGACCUGUGAUCCCCGAAUAAUGAUUCCCGUAAUAGGGCGGGCGGGAGUAUUUCUGGCUUAUGGAAUCCCUCACAAGCCGCAGCGCUCAAACCGGAAUAUACGUAGUCGAGGCUUAGUACAGAAACCAGUUUACAACCCAAACGGGCCGAGUACACAAAACGACGGAAUGCAAAGCGAGAUAGCCGAUUCCGCCGUGGUCCUCCUGAUGACGCUAACACGGGGCCAAGCCGGUCCGCUCGUGGAGUCAUCUCUUUCGGUUUUUGACUGACAGUACUAUAUCGCACUCUGACCAGUUGGUGAGCUACUGAAUGGCCUUAGAAAUCCUAAGGAGGCGUAAUUGCUUCCCGGCAAAGGGCCGGUCCGUGUAUGCGCGGGGCUCAAACCCGCUCGCGUCCGCGGUGGUCCCCGAUAUAUUCAUCGGAGUUACAGUUUGAGGAUACCGAUUCACUUUCACUAUUUAGUAGUAUCAGGCUAACGGAUCAAGCGACGCGAUAGUGGAGGAAACAUCCUGGUUCUGCAACCUAGUUCACACUUUUACGCGGAAGACGUUUGUGGGGGCGUAAUACACGCACCCCCGACUUCGGCUGCUGACGGUAGAAAGUCUAAUAUAUGUGCAUAUACAAUUUGCCGGCGUGUACUCCAUAAGGUUAUGAACGUCCGUGUUCAUAUUUUUCGAAGAUGUUAAAUAGUUUUAUAACAAAAUGUUAUUAUGUACGAUAAGCUUAUAUCAUAGGAAACUCGUGACGCAGAGAUGAUUUGCUCGCGGAACGUCUUGAAGGACUUUUAUCGCGAGCCGUCCAUGAGCCGAAGGUAGGCUCAGACCCCUACGUUGUUGCCACGGAAGGUAAAGGCGGAUCAUACAGAAUUGUGCCCGUUCUCGGUAGGCGCGUGGGAGAUACGUGCGACUGGAGAAGUAGCGUAACUAUACGCCGUGGCGUGGUUCCUUGACGACGUGGUUCAACUUUAUUGAAAAGCCGAGACCGGAGAGACCGGUGUCUACUAAGUACUGUAUGAAGUACCGCUCAGGCCUGUUGGAUAAAUCGAGCCGGGUAAGCCGGUUUGCUAGCCGAUUACUGUCACCUGCGAGACCUAACACCUUGACACUGGUCUUCUCGAAAAGGUGAAGCGCUAGAAGAACUAGAACCUUCACAAGCCGGCGUAGACGCCGUGAGCGACGAUUUAGGUCUAUCCACAGGCGGCAUGAGGUGUAGACCAGAUUGCCUCGUACAAAUCUUAGUGUCUUGAAGGAGGCGUCAUAUUUCCCGAAAGAUCGGCGCUAGAGAGACCGGACUGCGUCGAGGAGGAAGUAUCGAGAGUAGCGUCUCGCUCGUGGAACCGUGGCCGUUGCCGGAAGAAGUCCAGGCAGGCAAGGCGGGCUAGAAGAAAAAGUUCUUCGAACGUUGCCAGUCGUUGCAAGAAGUCGGAGUGCCGGUAGAGCCGGUAAAGGAAGAACGAAACCGUCACUCGUCGUACAAGCCGAAAGUCGAGGAAUUAACGGAAAGGCAGUCGGCGUAGUGAAAAGGACCGAACGAGGAACCGAGCCCGUUCAAGGCGGGCUUCUAAGAGGUACCGUCGUCGUGGUAGACGUAGUUCGCGUGUGUAACAUUCUAUGACCGUAUUUCGAGGAGAAUGGUCCGCGGCGGCUGCCUUAAUGUAUGGAACACGGAGCAGCUCGGCGAACACCUGUUCGCACUACAGCCGUAUACGGUGCAGUUCAACGGCGAAAUCGAGCCGUUUAGGUAAUCAGGCCGACCGGUGGCCUGUGAAGCGGUGGAUGCAUAUUUCCGCCGUAUAAUCUGGACCCUAAUACUAGGAAACACGCGGCAGUGAAAACUGUUGUGUGUCUCAGAGUCCCCGAUGAUAGAUGUGUCCCGCGUACAAUAAAUACGCGUUGACAGGUUUUUACCAUGUAAUAAAGCGCAUGGAGUUUUGGACAGUCAUUUGAGGACUGCCUGAGCACGUUAGGCGAGAGGCGCCUACUUUAGGAGAGUUAGUGGCAUGGGUAGUUACGUGCCACGAGGAGACUCUACCUACGAGCGGGAUCGUCUAGGAAGUCGAGGAGGCUGGCGCGUGGUCUGCCGCGGCCUGAGCAGGCUACCGGGAAAAGCUUCCAGCCUGCGCCUCCCGAAACCCCCCGGUAUACUGAUGGAAGGCCGGGGCGGCCUAAACCUCUUUGGGAGGCACUACUAUGGAGUCCCAGCGGGCGGAGCGUUCCGCCAUGCCGUCCCCCUCCGCAAGGCGAGAGGUAGUAGAGGCCUUCUUCUAGGGGGCUUCUGCUCGAGACGACUCUUCCCGAUUCCAGGCUCGAUGUUCCAUUUAAAAGCUAAUGAAAAGAGUCUAUAUUUCGUCCCUAAAGAGAGCAAAGAAUUUUUCUUUUGAGGAGAGAUGAAUACCGAGCCACCUCCCGACUAGGGGAGCUCCCGUAUUAAGCCGGCUUCAUAGGGGGUCGUGUCCUGGGAGACCGCUUCUAAAGAAGGGAGCGAAAUUCCGGUACCAGAGGCCCAGAAGUCUCCGCUAGGAGAAGAAGGGGACUCCUCUCCUUAAAAGCUAAGGAGGGAAAGCCUAUUGGAGGAAACUCUUCAGACAUCGAAGGAACAGGGGAGGGAGCGAAAGGAAACUUCCGUGUUGGAGGUUGUAGGACUGAUCGUGCCCUGGGCCGCACCAGAGCUCCUCCCCCCGGCCUGUGGACUAAUCGAAACGAAAGCGAUGGGUGAGGACAAAUUUCCUGUUGAGAAAAUCCCCGUUAAAAUACUAUUUAUAUGCCUAUCGCUCAGGCCCGUGUUCCGAUGAAUGAACUCAUAGGCCUGCUAACGUAGAGUCUGGACGCAGGAGGCAUCUUAGGCCUGUGUGAUGAACACCAGGGUUCUUGUUAAACAUGUGGAGGUGCCCGCAGUACGGUUCUUUUACAACCUCUUGAGCACCAGGGAGGCCGAACUUGAGGGUGUUCGCCUCCCCCGCUGCAAACGUCCCGUCUUGAGCCGCUUAAUUGUAUUGGAUGCAGUGGUGCUGGUCUGACUACAGAGAAAGAUCCUCUAGAGCCUACACCGGGACGUUAUCCCCGUGCAGGAAACGGCCGGGGGUCAGGUCGGGGCAUAACUGGGUGCUGCGGUCAGCACCGCCCCCUGGGCUCGCUUUCCGUCCACCGCGGUGGGUGAAUCCCCGGAACCCUCGCCAUUAUAUUUUCGUGAGAGCAACGGUAUUCGACCUGAGGAGAACCUUUCUCGGGAACCCGGUACCUCAUGGUCGUAAGAACGAAUAUUUUCGUGGAGGCGUGAGGCGCACGGCAGGGAGUUAGUAGAAGCCGAGAUGAAACUUCCAGAACUCGGUAUCAGGCUUCACUCCUCACUAUGUCUCCUUCCGAAGUGUGUACUGCUACUUACUCCUUUAUACCUCCUACCCGAGGCCCCGAUUCAGCACUUUAAGGUCGGGUAUUAUUAUGUACUCGGGGGAGUGCUUCCCUAGGCAGCCCUUCGGAUCGGGGGCUUCCUUCACUCUGUACUUGUGGUGUGAGAGUGGCCCGAACCCUCACCCUUACUGGACGGGAACUCGUCCGUCGGAUACGCUCUAAAGCGGCCAGUUCUUGGACCGGAAAGAGUUGAAGUCGUGUAGGAGGAGGCACUGCCUCCUCCCGUAGGUAGCCGGAGCUCCAGCCUUGGCCUGUAACAGCUUCCAGGCUUCGCGGACUUUAGACCUUGGAACCCACAACCUUGAGCUCCGCUUCCCGCUUGAGCAAACUCUAACUUUCUUUCCUCAUUCCGGAACCAGAGAAAUAUUCUCCAACUUAUGGUUCCCGGAAGGGGCACUGGCAAACCCUGAGCGGAAACUAGCUCUUUUAUAUGGUUGCCCAUGCCAACCCAAUGGGUACGGGCAUAACUACUCUUAGGGCCUUAUUCCCCUGUGCUAGAGACGAAAUUGUUCUGCACGGUUCCUUUAGCGGAGCGAUUUGCGCGACUCCACCCUGUUAUUUUGCUAAGCUUAUUUCUGAACCGGCACCACACUACAGUGCGAUGCUUUAUGCAGUCGUCUAAUCUAAACACAUUUAUAAUAAGAGAGAUACCGUUAUACACCUUUGAAUAAAACAUCUCGGCCUGUGAUGGAAACACAAGUUUUAGAAGAUACUUCAUGAACCUCCUCCUUGGGCGGAACGUUACGGCUUCUGUUAGACGCGCGGCCUGAGCAGCAGUAACUUCUGACCAAGUCCCCGAUGACUCCCUCAGGACCUAAUCCCCCACAAGCCUACCGGCCUGAUAUGGAAGCCGGCCUGAGGACCUGAUACUUCUAUGUUCUAACUUCUGAAACAGGGCACAGGCCUUCCCUGAAAGGAACCGCACCUUCCGUUCGAACCGCUAUGCCUAUACAUCUAGAGGAUGGUAACAUUGGCUGAGACACAUUGGGAUCGGGAGAGGGCACAGAUAUAUUUGGCCUCUCAAAAUCAGGCAUCCUGUUUGUUGUUAGUAUGGUAUCCGAUCGAAGAUCCCAAAUCGGAGAGACUAGAGCACCAUCUAGAUGAGAACAUAAUGGGUAUAGUAGUUAUAGUUAGUUCGUCCUGUAUCCCAAAAUGGAGGUAGUUCUCCCGGGCUUGGACCCAUUUUGUAGCACAGGGGACGGAGGACAAUGGUAGGCCGGAUCUACGUGUCAAGCCCUGGGGGAUGGGCUCUAGGCAGCCAAAACUGUGGCUGUCACCCACUCCGCCAUCCUACGUCGUUGAGCGGCUAACGAACCAGCGGUGCCUACGGUUCGUUGUUCUCGCCCAAUCAAGCUGAGCCACAGAAAGAAAAAAAUAGGAGGGAGGGUACCUUAAACGGACCUAGAACCGCUCGAGGAGUUGGUGGACUAAAGAAGAACAAAGUUCACACGUGUGGAGAUCGAACUGAACACCACCACCGCCCAUAAUGACCUCGCCUCCGUGGAAAGCAAAAAGCAGGAGAAACAACCACCCUUCCCCGUCGUCCAGCCUCCUCCUUCGGUGUGUUAGAACCGUCCUCUCCUCUACCCCUUCCCACUGUUCGAUACACCUUACUGAGUCGCGACCACCUGCGGAACCUGGUACGACAGUGGUGGAUUUUCCCAGACGAUAUCUACAACUUUAGUUUCCGCACCGGAGAUAAACUAGUCAUCCCAAACGAUAUUUUGACUCUUCUUCUAUUCCUCCUCAUACCCAGACGUGCAUGGAUAUUCUUCUUCUACAGGAGUCUAAACUCCUAAGAACUCUACUCUAUCUAACGUCAUGUAGGAUAGUGGAGUACCUCUUUUCCUCGGAUCUUUUCUUGUAAGCUGAACUCGACCUUGCACUCCAUAUAGGAAAAGUCAAAUUUGUAAAGAAAAACAAACAAGGCAAUUACUAUCAAGUUAACACUCUUCACGACGUGAGCCGAGGGGACUGAUCACUUGAGGCGGCGACUUGCUACGAGGAGUCGAUGUGACGAGGAGGCCGACUUCCAAACGAGAAUCAAAAUCUAGAGGUAUUCAAUAAGAUCUUAGAUAAUACGAGAAAACGUAACUUAAGUACCCCAACUUUGACAGUUAACACGGAUACAAAUUAAGAUUUUAUAUAAACGAGACAGAUCUCUUCCAUCUUACUGUUCCAAUAAAUCUACAAACUGUGGUAGACUCUACGGGGAACUAAUCAUUCCACGCAGGCCUCGGUCUUCUUGAACUCUUUCCGUAGUAUGUAAGGAAAACGUUCUGUGAAUGUUGAAGCCUAUGCUCAUGGUUACCUGUACAGAGUCUUAGGCGGUAGAGUUCUUGACCAUCGGUUUCUAGAGGUACCUUGAUUAAACGUAAAAGUAGUGUAUAAAGCACCACUAAAAUGUUAAAUUCGUAAAUCGAACUUAUGGGAAAUUUGAAAGGCAGCAACACAAAAAUAACAAAACCAUAUCGUGAUUUACAGUGUUAACUUACAACUUAAGAAUGGUGACGUUUUUGGACGUCUUAUACGACUAAGUAAUAAAGAAUUCAUACA